AGACCCGAAACCCGGUGAUCUAGCCAUGGGCAGGUUGAAGGUUGGGUAACACUAACUGGAGGACCGAACCGACUAAUGUUGAAAAAUUAGCGGAUGACCUGUGGCUGGGGGUGAAAGGCCAAUCAAACCGGGAGAUAGCUGGUUCUCCCCGAAAGCUAUUUAGGUAGCGCCUCGUGAAUUCAUCUCCGGGGGUAGAGCACUGUUUCGGCUAGGGGGCCAUCCCGGCUUACCAACCCGAUGCAAACUGCGAAUACCGGAGAAUGUUAUCACGGGAGACACACGGCGGGUGCUAACGUCCGUCGUGAAGAGGGAAACAACCCAGACCGCCAGCUAAGGUCCCAAAGUCAUGGUUAAGUGGGAAACGAUGUGGGAAGGCCCAGACAGCCAGGAUGUUGGCUUAGAAGCAGCCAUCAUUUAAAGAAAGCGUAAUAGCUCACUGGUCGAGUCGGCCUGCGCGGAAGAUGUAACGGGGCUAAACCAUGCACCGAAGCUGCGGCAGCGAACGUAUCACCCAAGACAACUUUACGGAGUUGACGAUUGACGGAGCGAAGCGACGUCAAAGCGUUCAUUAAAGUCGAGUUGGCUUAGGGAUACGUUCGUUGGGUAGGGGAGCGUUCUGUAAGCCUGUGAAGGUGUGUCGUGAGGCAUGCUGGAGGUAUCAGAAGUGCGAAUGCUGACAUAAGUAACGAUAAAGCGGGUGAAAAGCCCGCUCGCCGGAAGACCAAGGGUUCCUGUCCAACGUUAAUCGGGGCAGGGUGAGUCGACCCCUAAGGCGAGGCCGAAAGGCGUAGUCGAUGGGAAACGGGUUAAUAUUCCCGUACUUGGUGUUACUGCGAAGGGGGGACGGAGAAGGCUAUGUUGGCCGGGCGACGGUUGUCCCGGUUUAAGGGUGUAGGUGUGUGUUCCAGGUAAAUCCGGUUCACUUUAACACUGAGGCGUGACGACGAGGCACUACGGUGCUGAAGCAACAAAUGCCCUGCUUCCAGGAAAAGCCUCUAAGCAUCAGGUAACACGAAAUCGUACCCCAAACCGACACAGGUGGUCAGGUAGAGAAUACCAAGGCGCUUGAGAGAACUCGGGUGAAGGAACUAGGCAAAAUGGUGCCGUAACUUCGGGAGAAGGCACGCUGACACGUAGGUGAAGUGAUUUACUCAUGGAGCUGAAGUCAGUCGAAGAUACCAGCUGGCUGCAACUGUUUAUUAAAAACACAGCACUGUGCAAACACGAAAGUGGACGUAUACGGUGUGACGCCUGCCCGGUGCCGGAAGGUUAAUUGAUGGGGUCAGCGUAAGCGAAGCUCCUGAUCGAAGCCCCGGUAAACGGCGGCCGUAACUAUAACGGUCCUAAGGUAGCGAAAUUCCUUGUCGGGUAAGUUCCGACCUGCACGAAUGGCGUAAUGAUGGCCAGGCUGUCUCCACCCGAGACUCAGUGAAAUUGAACUCGCUGUGAAGAUGCAGUGUACCCGCGGCAAGACGGAAAGACCCCGUGAACCUUUACUAUAGCUUGACACUGAACAUUGAGCCUUGAUGUGUAGGAUAGGUGGGAGGCUUUGAAGUGUGGACGCCAGUCUGCAUGGAGCCGACCUUGAAAUACCACCCUUUAAUGUUUGAUGUUCUAACGUGGACCCGUAAUCCGGGUUGCGGACAGUGUCUGGUGGGUAGUUUGACUGGGGCGGUCUCCUCCUAAAGAGUAACGGAGGAGCACGAAGGUUGGCUAAUCCUGGUCGGACAUCAGGAGGUUAGUGCAAUGGCAUAAGCCAGCUUGACUGCGAGCGUGACGGCGCGAGCAGGUGCGAAAGCAGGUCAUAGUGAUCCGGUGGUUCUGAAUGGAAGGGCCAUCGCUCAACGGAUAAAAGGUACUCCGGGGAUAACAGGCUGAUACCGCCCAAGAGUUCAUAUCGACGGCGGUGUUUGGCACCUCGAUGUCGGCUCAUCACAUCCUGGGGCUGAAGUAGGUCCCAAGGGUAUGGCUGUUCGCCAUUUAAAGUGGUACGCGAGCUGGGUUUAGAACGUCGUGAGACAGUUCGGUCCCUAUCUGCCGUGGGCGCUGGAGAACUGAGGGGGGCUGCUCCUAGUACGAGAGGACCGGAGUGGACGCAUCACUGGUGUUCGGGUUGUCAUGCCAAUGGCACUGCCCGGUAGCUAAAUGCGGAAGAGAUAAGUGCUGAAAGCAUCUAAGCACGAAACUUGCCCCGAGAUGAGUUCUCCCUGAGACUUAGAGUCUCCUGAAGGAACGUUGAAGACGACGACGUUGAUAGGCCGGGUGUGUAAGCGCAGCGAUGCGUUGAG
rnacentral:rRNA from 1 species